GAUGAACGCUGGCGGCGUGCCUAAUACAUGCAAGUCGAGCGAACGGACGAGAAGCUUGCUUCUCUGAUGUUAGCGGCGGACGGGUGAGUAACACGUGGAUAACCUACCUAUAAGACUGGGAUAACUUCGGGAAACCGGAGCUAAUACCGGAUAAUAUUUUGAACCGCAUGGUUCAAAAGUGAAAGACGGUCUUGCUGUCACUUAUAGAUGGAUCCGCGCUGCAUUAGCUAGUUGGUAAGGUAACGGCUUACCAAGGCAACGAUGCAUAGCCGACCUGAGAGGGUGAUCGGCCACACUGGAACUGAGACACGGUCCAGACUCCUACGGGAGGCAGCAGUAGGGAAUCUUCCGCAAUGGGCGAAAGCCUGACGGAGCAACGCCGCGUGAGUGAUGAAGGUCUUCGGAUCGUAAAACUCUGUUAUUAGGGAAGAACAUAUGUGUAAGUAACUGUGCACAUCUUGACGGUACCUAAUCAGAAAGCCACGGCUAACUACGUGCCAGCAGCCGCGGUAAUACGUAGGUGGCAAGCGUUAUCCGGAAUUAUUGGGCGUAAAGCGCGCGUAGGCGGUUUUUUAAGUCUGAUGUGAAAGCCCACGGCUCAACCGUGGAGGGUCAUUGGAAACUGGAAAACUUGAGUGCAGAAGAGGAAAGUGGAAUUCCAUGUGUAGCGGUGAAAUGCGCAGAGAUAUGGAGGAACACCAGUGGCGAAGGCGACUUUCUGGUCUGUAACUGACGCUGAUGUGCGAAAGCGUGGGGAUCAAACAGGAUUAGAUACCCUGGUAGUCCACGCCGUAAACGAUGAGUGCUAAGUGUUAGGGGGUUUCCGCCCCUUAGUGCUGCAGCUAACGCAUUAAGCACUCCGCCUGGGGAGUACGACCGCAAGGUUGAAACUCAAAGGAAUUGACGGGGACCCGCACAAGCGGUGGAGCAUGUGGUUUAACUCGAAGCAACGCGAAGAACCUUACCAAAUCUUGACAUCCUUUGACAACUCUAGAGAUAGAGCCUUCCCCUUCGGGGGACAAAGUGACAGGUGGUGCAUGGUUGUCGUCAGCUCGUGUCGUGAGAUGUUGGGUUAAGUCCCGCAACGAGCGCAACCCUUAAGCUUAGUUGCCAUCAUUAAGUUGGGCACUCUAAGUUGACUGCCGGUGACAAACCGGAGGAAGGUGGGGAUGACGUCAAAUCAUCAUGCCCCUUAUGAUUUGGGCUACACACGUGCUACAAUGGACAAUACAAAGGGCAGCGAAACCGCGAGGUCAAGCAAAUCCCAUAAAGUUGUUCUCAGUUCGGAUUGUAGUCUGCAACUCGACUACAUGAAGCUGGAAUCGCUAGUAAUCGUAGAUCAGCAUGCUACGGUGAAUACGUUCCCGGGUCU
rnacentral:rRNA from 1 species